GAUGAACGCUGGCGGCGUGCCUAAUACAUGCAAGUCGAGCGAACAGACGAGGAGCUUGCUCCUCUGACGUUAGCGGCGGACGGGUGAGUAACACGUGGAUAACCUACCUAUAAGACUGGGAUAACUUCGGGAAACCGGAACUAAUACCGGAUAAUAUAUUGAACCGCAUGGUUCAAUAGUGAAAGACGGUUUUGCUGUCACUUAUAGAUGUAUCCGCGCCGCAUUAGCUAGUUGGUAAGGUAACGGCUUACCAAGGCGACGAUGCGUAGCCGACCUGAGAGGGUGAUCGGCCACACUGGAACUGAGACACGGGCCAGACUCCGACGGGAGGCAGCAGUAGGGAAUCUUCCGCAAUGGGCGAAAGCUUGACGGAGCAACGCCGCGUGAGUGAUGAAGGUCUUCGGAUCGUAAAACUCUGUUAUUAGGGAAGAACAAAUGUGUAAGUAACUAUGCAAGUCUUGACGGUACCUAAUCAGAAAGCCACGGCUAACUACGUG
rnacentral:rRNA from 1 species